ACUGCAGUGGUUACAGGAAACCUUCUGAUGGAUCCAAACCCAGAAGAUGCACGUUGGAGUACUUCCCAAUAUGUGGUACCAAUGGCCAAACGUACACCAACAAAUGCCUCUUUUGCAGUGCAGCCAUGACAAGUCAAGGGAAGAUCCAUUUUAAGCAUUAUGGGAGCUGCUGAGAUAUUGCCUUGGGUGAUCUGUGGAAAAACAUACUUCAUUCACCUGUCACCUCUGCCUCACUCUUCUUGCUCCACUCAAAUCCAGUCUAAUCCACUCAAACACUUAUUCUAUUCAGUUGCAUCUCAUCUGCUGGGUUAAAAUAAAAAUUCAUCACUCUUA